rnacentral:piRNA from 1 species
UCUCUUAGGAUAGAACCAGCAAGAUU